UUACUGGGCUUAAAGAGUUCGUAGGUGGUUGAAAAAGUUGGUGGUGAAAUCCCAGAGCUUAACUCUGGAACUGCCAUCAAAACUUUUCAGCUAGAGUAUGAUAGAGGAAAGCAGAAUUUCUAGUGUAGAGGUGAAAUUCGUAGAUAUUAGAAAGAAUACCAAUUGCGAAGGCAGCUUUCUGGAUCAUUACUGACACUGAGGAACGAAAGCAUGGGUAGCGAAGAGGAUUAGAUACCCUCGUAGUCCAUGCCGUAAACGAUGUGUGUUAGACGUUGGAAAUUUAUUUUCAGUGUCGCAGCGAAAGCGAUAAACACACCGCCUGGGGAGUACGACCGCAAGGUUAAAACUCAAAUGAAUUGACGGGGACCCGCACAAGUAGUGGAGCAUGUGGUUUAAUUCGAAGAUACGCGCAGAACCUUACCAACACUUGACAUGUUCGUCGCGACUCUAAGAGAUUAGAGUUUUCGGUUCGGCCGGACGAAACACAGGUGCUGCAUGGCUGUCGUCAGCUCGUGUCGUGAGAUGUUGGGUUAAGUCCCGCAACGAGCGCAACCCUCACUUUUAGUUGCCAUCAUUUAGUUGGGCACUCUGAAAGAACUGCCAGUGAUAAGCUGGAGGAAGGUGGGGAUGACGUCAAGUCCUCAUGGCCCUUACGUGUUGGGCUACACACGUGCUACAAUGGCAUCUACAACAGGAAGCAAAACGGCAACGUUAAGCAAAUCCCGAAAAGAUGCCUCAGUUCGGAUUGCACUCUGCAACUCGAGUGCAUGAAGCUGGAAUUACUAGUAAUCGUGGAUCAGCGUGCCACGGUGAAUGCGUUCCCGGGUCUUGUACACACCGCCCGUCACACCAUGGGAGUUGGUUCUACCUUAAGGCAAGGUUUUAAACCCUUGACCACGGUAUAGUCAGCGACUGGGGUGAAGUCGUAACAAGGUAACCA
rnacentral:rRNA from 1 species